rnacentral:rRNA from 1 species
CCUACGGGGGGCAGCAGUGAGGAAUAUUGGUCAAUGGACGCGAGCCUGAACCAGCCAAGUAGCGUGAAGGAUGACUGCCCUAUGGGUUGUAAACUUCUUUUAUAUGGGAAUAAAGUGUGGCACGUGUGGGCUUUUGUAUGUCCUUUAUGAAUAAGGAUCGGCUAACUCCGUGCCAGCAGCCGCGGUAAUACGGAGGAUCCGAGCGUUAUCCGGAUUUAUUGGGUUUAAAGGGAGCGUAGGUGGGUUGGUAAGUCAGUUGUGAAAGUUUGUGGCUCAACCGUAAAAUUGCAUUUGAUACUGUCAGUCUUGAGUACAGUAGAGGUAGGCGGAAUUCGUGGUGUAGCGGUGAAAUGCUUAGAUAUCACGAAGAACUCCGAUUGCGAAGGCAGCUUACUGAACUGCAACUGACACUGAUGCUCGAAAGUGUGGGUAUCAAACAGGAUUAGAUACCCGGGUAGUC